rnacentral:rRNA from 1 species
UACGGAGGGUGCGAGCGUUGUUCGGAAUUAUUGGGCGUAAAGCGCACGUAGGCGGCCUGGUAAGUCUCACUGUGAAAGCCCGGGGCUCAACUCCGGAACUGCCUUUAAGACUGCAUCGCUUGAAUCCAGGAGAGGUGAGUGGAAUUCCGAGUGUAGAGGUGAAAUUCGUAGAUAUUCGGAAGAACACCGGUGGCGAAGGCGGCCUGCUGGGCAGUUGCUGACACUGAGGCGCGACAGCGUGGGGAGCAAACAGG